rnacentral:rRNA from 1 species
UACGUAGGGUGCGAGCGUUAAUCGGAAUUACUGGGCGUAAAGCGUGCGCAGGCGGUUUUGUAAGUCUGUCGUGAAAGCCCCGGGCUCAACCUGGGAAUUGCGAUGGAGACUGCAAGGCUUGAAUCUGGCAGAGGGGGGUAGAAUUCCACGUGUAGCAGUGAAAUGCGUAGAGAUGUGGAGGAAUACCGAUGGCGAAGGCAGCCCCCUGGGUCAAUACUGACGCUCAUGCACGAAAGCGUGGGGAGCAAACAGG